GGCUGAAAUUACGCCUUCCAUGAAGCCGGAAUUGCUAGUAAUGGCAGGUCAGCAUACUGCCGUGAAUACGUUCCCGGGCCUUGUACACACCGCCCGUCACACCAUGAGAGUUGGGAAUACCCGAAGCCUGUGAGCUAACUUUAAGAGGCAGCAGUCGAAGGUAGAAUCAAUGAUUGGGGUGAAGUCGUAACAAGGUACC
rnacentral:rRNA from 1 species